ACCAGCAGCCAUAUCACCCUCUCAACUCACAACUGGCAACCCACUGAAGCUAAGCAGGUGUGAGCCUGGUCAGUACCUGGAUGGGAGACCUCCUGGGAAAAACUAAGGUUGCUACUGGAA
rnacentral:rRNA from 1 species